rnacentral:lncRNA from 1 species
GGGCCUGGUUUCUGCUGCGGCCCUUCAGGCCUCGGGGACCCCGCGAGGCGCUGCUCCUGGGGGGCGCGGUGACAGGCCGUGCGGGGGCGGAGGGGUCAGCUCCGUGGCCUCCUCUCGGCCCUCCGCUCCACGAUCCCCGCCCAGAGGCCGGGCAAUAAAGAAUGUUGAUGGGAGAACUGUUUUCCUAAUUUUAAAAUUAUUGAGCUGGACGCCAUAAUGGAUGAUCAGCAAGCUUUGAAUUCAAUCAUGCAAGAUUUGGCUGUCCUUCAUAAGGCCAGUCGGCCAGCAUUAUCUUUACAAGAAACCAGAAAAGCAAAACC